CCUACGGGUGGCAGCAGUGGGGAAUAUUGGGCAAUGGGCGCAAGCCUGACCCAGCAAUGCCGCGUGAAGGAAGAAGGCUUUCGGGUUGUAAACUUCUUUUAUAAGGGAAGAAAGAAAGGACGGGACCUCAAGAAUAAGCCACGGUGAACUACGGGCCAGCAGCCGCGGGAAUACGGAGGUGGCAAGGGUGAUCCGGAUUUACUGGGGGGAAAGGGGGUGUAGGCGGGACUGCAAGUCAGAUGUGAAAAUUAUGGGCUCAACCCCUAACGUGCAUUUGAAACUGUAGUUCUUGAGUGUUGGAGAGGUAGGCGGAAUUCCGGGUGUAGCGGUGAAAUGCGUAGAUAUACGGAGGAACACCAGUGGCGAAGGCGGCCUGCUGGACCUUAACUGACGCUGAGGCGCGAAAGCGUGGGGAGCAAACAGGAUUAGAUACCCCAGUAGUC
rnacentral:rRNA from 1 species